rnacentral:rRNA from 1 species
ACGUCUACAUUAGAUACCCCUGUAGUCCCAGCCCUAAACGAUGCGCGUUAGGUGUAUCGGUGACCACGAGUCACCGAGGUGCCGAAGGGAAACCGUGAAACGUGCCGCCUGGGAAGUACGGUCGCAAGGCUGAAACUUAAAGGAAUUGGCGGGGGAGCACCACAACGGGUGGAGCUUGCGGUUUAAUUGGAUUCAACGCCGGAAAUCUUACCGGGACCGACAGCAACAUGAAGGCCAGGCUGAAGACUUUGCCGGAUUAGCUG